rnacentral:rRNA from 1 species
UACGUAGGGUGCGAGCGUUGUCCGGAAUUAUUGGGCGUAAAGAGCUCGUAGGCGGUCUGUCGCGUCUGCUGUGAAAUCCCGAGGCUCAACCUCGGGCCUGCAGUGGGUACGGGCAGACUAGAGUGCGGUAGGGGAGAUUGGAAUUCCUGGUGUAGCGGUGGAAUGCGCAGAUAUCAGGAGGAACACCGAUGGCGAAGGCAGAUCUCUGGGCCGUAACUGACGCUGAGGAGCGAAAGCGUGGGGAGCAAACGGG